rnacentral:rRNA from 1 species
GCCCAGCACCGAAGCCUGUGGCCAUUUGGUUACUAGGCAAUGUGGUGUUAAGGUCGUUCCGCAGAGGUUUCUGCUCCACCCUAAGUCCAUCAAUGAGUACGGUAGUAUGGACAUGGCCCAUAGAGGGUGAAAGGCCCGUGGGGGUGGAGAUUCGUUUGGCCAGGACCUCUCUGGGUAGACCUUGGAGUCGGGUUGUUUGUGAAUGCAGCCCAAAGUGGGUGGUAAACUCCAUCCAAGGCUAAAUACUUGCACGAGUCCGAUAGCGAACAAGUACCGUGAGGGAAAGUUGAAAAGUACUUUGAAGAGAGAGUAAACAGUGCGUGAAACCGCUCAGAGGUAAACGGGUGGAGUUGAACUGCAAGCUUUGAGAAUUCAGCUGAUGAGUGUGGUUUGAGCUUGGUCAAAUUGGUGAGCUCCGGGGUCUGUGUACUAGCAGGUCAUUGCCUUCGGGUAGUGAUGCGCGAUGCACUUAUCAAGUGUUGUGCGCCCCGGUUGUUCUUCGGCCUACUUGUCAGUGCACUUUCUCAGAGUGGUCACCACGACCGGCGCUGCUGUCUGGCUACUUUGGUUAAACCGGUCUUGCAUAGUCCUUGUGGCUUUGUUUGGUCGGGAUGGCAGGUAGCUCGUUGACUUGCUUGUGGCUUGCUGCAGGCGUUAAGUUUUCGAGUGUAAUCAGCUGACCUUUGUGGUUCUGUGCAGUGCGUCGGAGACAGCGGCUUGUGGUGUGUGCAUGCGUUCUGUUGGCUGACCUAUCCGAGUUUGGUUAUUAUGUUGCCUGUUCAAGCAGGCCUGGUGAUGGCUCGGAUUUGUUCGGUGGGCAGUUGCGUGUGUUGCACUAUUCCAAGGGCCAACAGUCUGUGGUGUAGUGGUAGACUUUCCACCCGACC